UUAUAUAAUAUAUAAUAUUUUAUUAAUAUUUAUAUUAAAUAUAUAUAAGAAAUAAUAUUAAUUAAUGCGAAGUUGAAAUACAGUUACUGUAGGGGAACCUGCAGUGGGCUUAUAAUAUACUUUAAUAUUCCAUACAUAAUAUAAUAUAUAUAUAUAUAUAUCAUAAAUUAUAUAUAUUUUAUAUAUUCCAAUA
rnacentral:rRNA from 1 species